GAUAAUUUAAUAAUGCCACCAACUCUGGCUUAGUUAAGUGAGAGUGUGAACUGUGUGGCAAGAGAGCCUCACACCUCACUAGGUGCAGAGAGCCCAGGCCUUAUGUUAAAAUCAUGCACUUGAAAAGCAAACCUUAAUCUGCAAAGACAGCAGCAAGCAUUAUACGGUCAUCUUGAAUGAUCCCUUUGAAAUUUUUUUUUUGUUUGUUUGUUUAAAUCAAGCCUGAGGCUGGUGAACAGUAGCUACACACCCAUAUUGUGUGUUCUGUGAAUGCUAGCUCUCUUGAAUUUGGAUAUUGGUUAUUUUUUAUAGAGUGUAAACCAAGUUUUAUAUUCUGCAAUGCGAACAGGUACCUAUCUGUUUCUAAAUAAAACUGUUUACAUUCA
rnacentral:lncRNA from 1 species